rnacentral:rRNA from 1 species
CAGUCGCCGCGGGAAAACAGAGGGUGCAAGCGUUAAUCGGAUUUACUGGGCGUAAAGCGUGCGUAGGUGGCUGUUUAAGUCGGAUGUGAAAGCCCUGGGCUUAACCUGGGAACUGCAUUCGAUACUGGAUAGCUAGAGAUCGGUAGAGGGCAGCGGAAUUCCGGGUGUAGCGGUGAAAUGCGUAGAUAUCCGGAGGAACACCGAUGGCGAAGGCAACUGCCUGGGCCUGAUCUGACACUGAGGCACGAAAGCGUGGGUAGCAAACAGGAUUAGAUACCCGCGUAGUCCCUGUCUCUUAUAC